rnacentral:rRNA from 1 species
GGGUGAGUAACACGUGGGUAACCUGCCCAAGAGACUGGGAUAACACCUGGAAACAGAUGCUAAUACCGGAUAACAACACUAGACGCAUGUCUAGAGUUUGAAAGAUGGUUCUGCUAUCACUCUUGGAUGGACCUGCGGUGCAUUAGCUAGUUGGUAAGGUAACGGCUUACCAAGGCAAUGAUGCAUAGCCGAGUUGAGAGACUGAUCGGCCACAUUGGGACUGAGACACGGCCCAAACUCCUACGGGAGGCAGCAGUAGGGAAUCUUCCACAAUGGACGAAAGUCUGAUGGAGCAACGCCGCGUGAGUGAAGAAGGGUUUCGGCUCGUAAAGCUCUGUUGGUAGUGAAGAAAGAUAGAGGUAGUAACUGGCCUUUAUUUGACGGUAAUUACUUAGAAAGUCACGGCUAACUACGUGCCAGCAGCCGCGGUAAUACGUAGGUGGCAAGCGUUGUCCGGAUUUAUUGGGCGUAAAGCGAGUGCAGGCGGUUCAAUAAGUCUGAUGUGAAAGCCUUCGGCUCAACCGGAGAAUUGCAUCAGAAACUGUUGAACUUGAGUGCAGAAGAGGAGAGUGGAACUCCAUGUGUAGCGGUGGAAUGCGUAGAUAUAUGGAAGAACACCAGUGGCGAAGGCGGCUCUCUGGUCUGCAACUGACGCUGAGGCUCGAAAGCAUGGGUAGCGAACAGGAUUAGAUGCCCUGGUAGUCCAUGCCGUAAACGAU